CCUACGGGUGGCAGCAGUGGGGAAUAUUGGGCAAUGGGCGCAAGCCUGACCCAGCAACGCCGCGUGAAGGUAGAUGGCUUUCGGGUUGUAAACUUCUUUUAAGCGGGAAGAGCAGAAGACGGUACCCCUUGAAUAAGCCACGGCUAACUACGUGCCAGCAGCAGCGGUAUUACGUCGGAGGCAAGCGUUGUCCGGAUUUACUGGGUGUAAAGGGCGUGCAGCCGGAAGGACAAGUCAGAUGUGAAAUCCACGGGCUCAAGCCGUGAACUGCAUUUGAAACUGUUUCCCUUGAGUGUCGGAGAGGUAAUCGGAAUGCGUUGUGUAGCGGUGAAAUGCGUAGAUAUAAGGAAGAACACCAGUUGCGAAGGCGGAUUACUGGACGAUAACUGACGGUGAGGCGCGAAAGCGUGGGGAGCAAACAGGAUUAGAUACCCCUGUAGUC
rnacentral:rRNA from 1 species